UCCAAGAGGGAAGGUCUGAUAUAAUACCAUGAUGCACGGUUUUGGCAUCAGGGAUGAGAAUAAUGACAAAGAAAGCCUGGAAGAGGGCGAGCGAAAGAACUUGUUGAAAGGACUUGAAAAAAAAGUCAUAUGCCAUAGUGCAUUACUACCUCAGUCCCAUGGACACAAGGCCUCUGCCCAAUGAUCUGCAUGGUCUCUUAGAUCUUACUAAAUAACUUUAUAUAUGUUUGUCUACAUAUGGUAAAGAAGUAAGGAGAAAUCUGUGCAUGAACUGGGGGAAGAGGGAGAAGAAGCAAACUCCCCGCUGAGCAGGGAGCCUGACUCGGAGCUCAAUACCAGGACCCUAGGAUCCUGAUCUGAGCUGAAGGCAGCCACUUAACCAACUGAGCCACCCAGGCACCCCCCCACUUAGUGUUUUCACUGGUAACUAGAUUAUCACUAAUACAUAAAUAUAUGAUUUCAAUAUAUAUAUUAAAAUAUAUAUAAAAUAAGUGCUCUAGCUUCCACCAAUCCUGAGCUAGGAGCAGGGCAUGAGUGGGUGACCAGAGCUCUUACCAAAUGUCCUUGUCAGGUGUUUGAUAUGCAGAGAGGUGAAAGAACAAGCAAAGCCAGUGGAAAAGGCAGGAGGAAAGGAUCCUGGAGGAAAUAAAGACUGCAGAGCAAAGCUCUCAACUCAUACCUGGGUCUAGGAUAAAAAUCUCUAGUAGGUCCGUUUCUCUCAUUUGUUUUCUGCAGGUCACCCAGGUCCUUUGAGUUCAUUUACAUUCCAGCCAGUUUUGGAAUUAAAAUUUUUAAGGAAUAGAAUAAAAAUGUAGAUGCUGUAUAUAUUUUAAGUGAUAAUUUUUCUUUUUAAAAAUACAAUGUUGUUUAUGUGAUGCCAGUGUUUGAAGCUUCUUGGUGCAAGAUUCAGUGCUGCUACAAAAACUUUGUGAGCAAGGCACAAGCCACCCUGCCCAGAGACCAAGAACUGGGUGCUGACAGCCGUUCCUGGGAGGCUUUUGGAGGUGUGAUGCCUGGGUCCAGAGUUUUCUUCUGCAGAUUCUUCUCUCCCUGCAAGGAAGUGGAGAGAGACUGGCCUUGGCGCUGAUUGAUUGCAGAUGAAUCCCAGUCCUCCUUUUACUGUGGGGCUAUCUUAACGCCUCUGAACUUCUGUCUUCAGGUGCGCAAACACAGGCUUCAGUACUCCCUUCCCUUUGGAAGGGGCAGGACCAAGGACUGGAGGCCUGCGGCUGAUCCAGGUGUUAAAUUUAUAAGGAAAUUUGCCUCAACACCCCAAAUCAGAAGUUAAUGUGAAGAUAUAAGAACUGAUGGAAUGAUCUGGAAUUUGAUCCAAAGCGAUGAAUUUAUUUGAUGUGGGAGUUGGAGGUAAAGAAUGUCGUGUUUGAACACCAUAUGGUUUAGAAGACUGCACCUAGUCACACAGAGAGAGAGAGAGAGAGGCAGAGACACAGGCAGAGGGAGAAGCAGGCUCCAUGCACCGGGAGCCCGACGUGGGAUUCGAUCCCGGGUCUCCAGGAUCACGCCCUGGGCCAAAGGCAGGCGCCAAACCGCUGUGCCACCCAGGGAUCCCAGAAAUUUUGAUCACAUACUAAGAGAUGAUAGCCUUUCUCUGUUUAAGUGUUCUUCAUUUUCUAAACUUUUUUUUUCACUUGCUAAACUUUUAAACUAAAAUAAUAUAUACAGACUUUCACUAGAGGCCACUUUUUGUUUUAAAUCCAUCCCAAAUGUUACAUAUUGCUGGGCCUUUACAAUAAUACACAUAGCUUAUUAGACUAGGAUAGGAGUAUAGCACCAUAAAAAUAAAAAAUAAAAUAAAAAUUGCCUGUAAUUAGUAAUACAAAUUUCACAAAGUGGAAAGGCAAAAGAUGACUAUCUUUUAGUAUCCUUCAACACAAUGUAAAGUGCAAGCAUAAUAAUAGUAUAAGCAUUCUAAUUGGGAAAAUAUAUGAACAAUGGCUGUGGGGCAACCACACAGACAAACAGAGAAAGCCACUCUGCAGAAUAAGUGAAGGAUGAAGCAGAGGCAUGAAGAGUAGAGAUGAGAGAUCAUGAAGAACACAGCUUCUUUAGCUCCUAAUGGUUUUUGGGUUCCUGGUUUUCAUUCUGCAUGAGGCCCAUCUGUACUUCCUAACUUUGAGACUUUUAAGAUACCCUUUAUAGUAGACAUCUAUGCUUUUGUCUACCCUGCACCCCUUCCCCUGUUUGGGGACCAACUGCCUCCAUCCCACACCAGUUCCAACAUGGUCAUAAUCACAUGACCUUGCUUUUUUAUCCACAGUGACUGAGAUGUACAUAACCCAAGUCAGGACAAUUAGAGUCUUCUUCUGGGAUGUUUUGGAAGAAAAAAAAUGGAAGAAUGGAAAUGGAGGAAAGAAGCUCUUUUCUCCAAAGAAGGGGAAUCACAAACUAAUGUCCUGGUGAAAUUCAACCUCCUGCCUGUUUUUGUUCUGUUUUUUGAAAUAAUUAUAGACCCACAGUAAGUUACAAAAACAGUAAGGAGAUCCCAAUACCCAUCACCCAGGUUUACCCAAUGACAUCUUAUGUAAUUAUUGUACAUUAUCAAUACUAUGAAAUUGACAUUGGCACAAUGCUAUUAACUAGACUGCAGACCUUACGCAGAUUUCACCAACUGUUCACUUUCUUUUUAUGUCUUGUGUAUAGUUCUAUGGCAUUUUAUCAUAUGUACAAAUCCUAUAACCACUGUCAUGAUCAAGAUACAGAACUGUCCCAUCACCACAGAGGAACUCCCUUUUGCUACCCCUUCUCAAUAACAUAUUCCCUACUUCCUUCCCCAAACCUGGCAACCACUAAUCUCCAUCUAUAUAAUUUUGUCAUUUCAAGAAUGUUAUAUAAAUGGGAUCAAACAGCACAUAACCUUUUGAAAUUGGACUUUUUCACUUAGCAUAAUACCUGGAGAGCCAUCCAAGUUGUUGUGUGUAUCUAUAGUCUAUUCUUUUUUACAGCGGAGUAGUAUUCCAUCAUACGGAUAGAUCACACAUUGUUUAACCACUUAACCUUUUGAAGGACAUUUAGGUUGCUUCCAGUUUUUGGCUAUAACAAAUAAACAUUCAUAUAUAAUUCUUGUGUAAAAAGUUUUCAUUUUAUAGGAUAAAUGCUCAGGAGUACAACUACUAGAUCACAUGUCAAGUAUACAUUAAACUUUUUAAGAAAUUGCCAGACUGGGACCCAGUCUGGGUGGCUCAGGAGUUGAGCGUCUGCCUUCAGCUCAGGGCAUGAUCCCAGUCCGGGGAUUG